GUGAUUGUAGCUCAGUUGGUUAGAGCGCUGGAUUGUGGUUCCAGAGGUCGCCGGUUCGAGACCGGUCUUUCACCCUA
rnacentral:tRNA from 15 species